UACGGAGGGUGCGAGCGUUGUCCGGAAUCAUUGGGCGUAAAGGGCGCGUAGGCGGCCGAGCAAGGUCGCGGUGAAAGCCCGGGGCUCAACCCCGGGUCGGCCGUGGCAACUACUCGGCUCGAGCACUGUAGGGGCGGGUGGAAUUCCGGGUGUAGCGGUGGAAUGCGUAGAGAUCCGGAAGAACACCGGUGGCGAAGGCGGCCUGCUGGGCAGUGGCUGACGCUGAGGCGCGACAGCGUGGGGAGCAAACAGG
rnacentral:rRNA from 1 species